rnacentral:rRNA from 1 species
CGCUGGCGGCGUGCUUAACACAUGCAAGUCGAACGGGAUCCGGCCGAGCUUGUCUUGGCUGGUGAGAGUGGCGAACGGGUGAGUAAUGCGUGACCAACCUGCCUUGUGCACCGGAAUAGCUCCUGGAAACGGGUGGUAAUACCGGAUGUUCCGCUCCAUCGCAUGGUGGUGUGGGAAAUGCUUUUGCGGCAUGGGAUGGGGUCGCGUCCUAUCAGCUUGUUGGCGGGGUGACGGCCCACCAAGGCUUUGACGGGUAGCCGGCCUGAGAGGGUGACCGGCCACAUUGGGACUGAGAUACGGCCCAGACUCCUACGGGAGGCAGCAGUGGGGAAUAUUGCACAAUGGGCGCAAGCCUGAUGCAGCGACGCCGCGUGCGGGAUGGAGGCCUUCGGGUUGUAAACCGCUUUUGAUUGUCAGCAAGGCGUCCUUUCGGGGAUGUUGAGUGUAGCUUUCGAAUAAGCACCGGCUAACUACGUGCCAGCAGCCGCGG